UGGGGAAUCUUGCGCAAUGGGCGAAAGCCUGACGCAGCAACGCCGCGUGAGUGAUGAAGGCCUUCGGGUCGUAAAGCUCUUUCGGAAGGGACGAAACCGAUCCGGGAUAACAAACCGGGUCGCUGACGGUACCUUAAGAAGAAGCACCGGCUAACUCUGUGCCAGCAGCCGCGGUAAUACAGAGGGUGCAAGCGUCGUUCGGAAUUAUUGGGCGUAAAGCGCGUGUAGGCGGCCAAGCAUGUCGGGUGUGAAAGCCCUGGGCUUAACCCAGGAAGUGCGCCCGAAACUACUUGGCUUGAGUGUCGGAGAGGAUGGCGGAACUCCCGGUGUAGAGGUGAAAUUCGUAGAUAUCGGGAAGAACACCAGUGGCGAAGGCGGCCAUCUGGACGACAACUGACGCUGAGACGCGAAAGCGUGGGGAGCAAACAGGAUUAGAUACCCUGGUAGUCCACGCCGUAAGCGAUGGGCACUAGAUGUCGUGGGUGUUGACCCCCGCGGUGUCGAAGCUAACGCAUUAAGUGCCCCGCCUGGGAAGUACGGCCGCAAGGCUA
rnacentral:rRNA from 1 species